CACAGGUGUGGGAACAGCUGCAGCCGCCCCUCCCUGAGCACCACGCUGGGCACAGGUCCGGGCGGACUGCUCCGUGUGCCCCUGGCAGAGCUCAGCCUCCAGCGAGGACUCAGCCUCACCCAGCAACACCAGCAGCCAGAGCUCGGAGGAUGCGUGUUCUGCCAGCCCUGCUCAGGGCACACAGGUGCAUCCACUGCCCUCUGCCCCACCUGACCCACAGGCUUAGGUGCCUCACUGUGAGAUCUGCCACCCUGCAGGACCCCCAGGCAGGCAAGGUGGAGGGCUGCUGCCAUCCUGCACAACGCUGCUGCAAGAGGAAGCUGUCUGCUUUUGCACCGGAGGGGUCUGGCAUGGGAGAGCAGCCCACGGCCCCCAGCCCCGUAUACCGGCUGGUGCUGGCAGGAGACAGCGGUGCAGGCAAGUCCAGCUUCCUGCUGCGCCUUUGUAGAAACGAGUUUCGAGGUGACAUCUCAUCCACGUUAGGUACCAGGGCUGGGAUGGAGGGGCUGGGAUACGUGGGGUGGGGUCUGAUGGCUGCCCCGGACAGGGGUGGACUUUCAGGUGAAGGAGCUGCUGGUGGAUGGGGAGCAAACCACCCUGCAGAUCUGGGACACUGCCGGGCAGGAAAGGUGAGGGGGGCAGCAGCACCCACCCCCUGCCAUGCAGCCAGGUCUCUGCUGCAGGCCUGGCCCUGCAUGGCCCCACACGGGCAGUGACA
rnacentral:lncRNA from 1 species